AUUACUGGGCGUAAAGCGCGCGUAGGCGGUUAAGUAAGUUAAUUGUGAAAGCCCGAAGCUCAACUUCGGAAUUGCAAUUAAAACUACUUAGCUAGAGUUUAUCAGAGGAAAGCGGAAUACAUAGUGUAGAGGUGAAAUUCGUAGAUAUUAUGUAGAACACCAGUUGCGAAGGCGGCUUUCUGGGAUAACACUGACGCUGAGGUGCGAAAGUAUGGGUAGCGAAGAGGAUUAGAUACCCUCGUAGUCCAUACCGUAAACGAUGAUUGUUAGAUGUUGGAAAUUUAUUUUCAGUAUCACAGCUAACGCGUUAAACAAUCCGCCUGGGGAGUACGACCGCAAGGUUAAAACUCAAAUGAAUUGACGGGGACCCGCACAAGCGGUGGAGCAUGUGGUUUAAUUCGAAGCUACGCGCAGAACCUUACCAACACUUGACAUGUCUGUCGCGGAUUUCAGAGAUGGAUUCCUUCGGUUCGGCCGGACAGAACACAGGUGCUGCAUGGCUGUCGUCAGCUCGUGUCGUGAGAUGUUGGGUUAAGUCCCGCAACGAGCGCAACCCCUACUUCUAGUUGCCAUCAGGCUAAGCUGGGCACUCUAGUAGGACUGCCUGUGAUAAGCAGGAGGAAGGUUGGGAUGACGUCAAGUCCUCAUGGCCCUUACGUGUUGGGCUACACACGUGCUACAAUGGCAGUGACAAUGAGAUGCUAAACAGCGAUGUUAAGCUAAACUCAAAAACCUGCCUCAGUUCGGAUUGCACUCUGCAACUCGAGUGCAUGAAGCUGGAAUCGCUAGUAAUCGCUCAUCAGCGCGGAGCGGUGAAUACGUUCCCGGGUCUUGUACACACCGC
rnacentral:rRNA from 1 species